GGAAUAGCGCCUGAGCAGAUGGGAAUCAUCUGCUGACGAGGAGGACAGUCAUCGAAAUUCGGCGGAUGCUGUCCCGGAUACUGAAGUAUUCGUUAAACCGCAUGUUAAAACUGGCAAGUGAUUGUCGGCACAGAGCAU
rnacentral:ncRNA from 1 species